rnacentral:rRNA from 1 species
AAGCAUAUGUACCGUGAAACUGCGAAUGGCUCAUUAUAUCAGUUAUAGUUUAUUUGAUAGUACCUUACUACUUGGAUAACCGUGGUAAUUCUAGAGCUAAUACAUGCUAAAAACCUCGACUUCGGAAGGGGUGUAUUUAUUAGAUAAAAAACCAAUGCCCUUCGGGGCUCCUUGGUGAUUCAUGAUAACUUAACGAAUCGCAUGGCCUUGUGCCGGCGAUGGUUCAUUCAAAUUUCUGCCCUAUCAACUUUCGAUGGUAGGAUAGUGGCCUACCAUGGUUUCAACGGGUAACGGGGAAUUAGGGUUCUAUUCCGGAGAGGGAGCCUGAGAAACGGCUACCACAUCCAAGGAAGGCAGCAGGCGCGCAAAUUACCCAAUCCCGACACGGGGAGGUAGUGACAAUAAAUACUGAUACAGGGCUCUUUUGGGUCUUGUAAUUGGAAUGAGUACAAUUUAAAUCCCUUAACGAGGAACAAUUGGAGGGCAAGUCUGGUGCCAGCAGCCGCGGUAAUUCCAGCUCCAAUAGCGUAUAUUAAAGUUGUUGCAGUUAAAAAGCUCGUAGUUGAACCUUGGGCCUGGCUGGCCGGUCCGCCUCACCGCGUGCACUGGUCCGGCCGGGCCUUUCCUUCUGGGGAGCCGCAUGCCCUUCACUGGGUGUGUCGGGGAACCAGGACUUUUACUUUGAAAAAAUUAGAGUGUUCAAAGCAGGCCUAUGCUCGAAUACAUUAGCAUGGAAUAAUAGAAUAGGACGUGUGGUUCUAUUUUGUUGGUUUCUAGGACCGCCGUAAUGAUUAAUAGGGAUAGUCGGGGGCAUCAGUAUUCCGUUGUCAGAGGUGAAAUUCUUGGAUUUACGGAAGACUAACUACUGCGAAAGCAUUUGCCAAGGAUGUUUUCAUUAAUCAGUGAACGAAAGUUAGGGGAUCGAAGACGAUCAGAUACCGUCGUAGUCUUAACCAUAAACUAUGCCGACUAGGGAUCGGGCGAUGUUAUCUUUUUGACUCGCUCGGCACCUUACGAGAAAUCAAAGUUUUGGGUUCUGGGGGAG